rnacentral:rRNA from 1 species
UACGUAGGGCGCAAGCGUUGUCCGGAAUUAUUGGGCGUAAAGAGCUCGUAGGCGGCUUGUCACGUCGGGUGUGAAAGCCCGGGGCUUAACCCCGGGUCUGCAUUCGAUACGGGCUAGCUAGAGUGUGGUAGGGGAGAUCGGAAUUCCUGGUGUAGCGGUGAAAUGCGCAGAUAUCUGGAGGAACACCGGUGGCGAAGGCGGCAUCCUGGACCAACACUGACGCUGAGGAGCGAAAGCCAGGGGAGCCAAAGCGGGG